CAGGCCUAACACAUGCAAGUCGAGCGGAAACGAUCCCUUCGGGGAGGCGUCGAGCGGCGGACGGGUGAGUAAUACAUAGGAAUCUACCCAACUGUGGGGGAUAACCCGGGGAAACUCGGGCUAAUACCGCAUAAUCUCCACGGAGCAAAGCAGGGGAUCUUCGGACCUUGCGCUGAUGGAUGAGCCUAUGUCUGAUUAGUUUGUUGGUGGGGUAACGGCCUACCAAGACGACGAUCAGUAGCUGGUCUGAGAGGAUGAUCAGCCACACCGGGACUGAGACACGGCCCGGACUCCUACGGGAGGCAGCAGUGGGGAAUAUUGGACAAUGGGCGGAAGCCUGAUCCAGCCAUGCCGCGUGUGUGAAGAAGGCCCUAGGGUUGUAAAGCACUUUAAGCAGGAAAGAAAAGCGCCGGGUUAAUAACCCGAGCGUCUUGACGGUACCUGCAGAAUAAGCACCGGCUAACUUCGUGCCAGCAGCCGCGGUAAUACGAAGGGU
rnacentral:rRNA from 1 species